AUCACCUUUACCAGGGUCUUGCAGCUGAUUACAGUAACCUGUGAGUAAGGAACAUCAGAACAGUGGGACCGGGGAGGACAGAAGCUGAAAAAGAUUUUGUGAAGUAUUCUCUUUGGAACAGAUUGCAGCUCUGAAGUCAAUAUAUUUUAUGAAGCAAUAAUACGGAAAAGAAUUCCCUCCACUGCUAAGCGCAGGCUUCUUUUAAGUUUGAAAAAGUGACUUUUCCCCAUAUGAUAUGUUAUAUUCCUGAAGCCGUCUUCAUGAAAACAUUCUCUUGAGAUCAGGACAUGUGGAAGGGAGCAAGACUGAAUAGUUCCGUCUCACAGGAACAGAAAAAGAAAAGAAAAAAAGAAGUCCUCAUAAAACUGGUCUUUGACAUGGGAGGAGUGCCAAAAGACAUAGAUUGCAAUGAUACGUCCCAGAGGACUGAUCUAGAGAAAAGAACCCUAUUAACAACAGAAGGGGUCACAUUCAUUCUGGCAGAUCAGCAUAUGGGACUAAAACCAGCUGAAGAGAGGAGGACUCAAGCAAGGCAAAGACGGAACAUUCUUUUUUAG
rnacentral:lncRNA from 1 species